rfam:Dipodomys ordii contig_98473, whole genome shotgun sequence.
GGUGGCUCAGUGGUAGAGCACUUGCCUAGCAUGCAUGAGGCCCUGGGUUCAAUUCCUCAGCACCA